UAAAAUAAAAUAAAAUCGAUGAUGAUUCAUUUAUUCCAUUACAGAAGAAGAAGAAGAAGAAAAGAGAAGAAGCUUCUUCUUGGUUACCUUGACAGACAGAGAGUGGAGCAAACGACAAAUCAGCGAGUUGGAACAUUUUGUGUUUGGUGGAGAUGCCUAUUCGGAGCUUGGUAGAAGUGGAGCCACCAAGCCCACUGAGAUACUUGAUCGGCGCCGCCGUUAUGAUGAUCGGAGUUGUGUUACCAGUCGGUUACAUGAUGUUCCGUAACAAGCGCGUCCCCUCCUCUUCCUCCUACUCCAAACAGACGUAGGAACAAGGUUUUGAUUUGAUAUAGAGAAUUGGAGAUGUGCUGCUGAUGGUGGUGGUGGUUAUGAUGUGAGAAGCCUCUGGUUUAGUGGAUUUGGAUUGAUUAGCUUAGAGGCCUCAACAGAUCUACCAUUAUUUGUUCAAUUGUAAAUGCAUUUUGACAUCCCAAAUCUGAACUCCUAUACAUGCUGCUUGUCUUUCCAUUAAGAUACUCCUGACUCAAUAUUGUGUAGCACAACAAAUUUUCAAUGCACGUUAUUUGCUUUUAUUUAUUUAUUCCCUUUAAGCAAGAAGAAAAA